GGCCCAAAUUUGAAGUAGAAUAGAUUGGUAUUAUCCGCUGAUCUACUCUACUAAUCUACUCUACUUAAAAUUUGGGCCC
rfam:Haemonchus contortus, ISE/inbred ISE, WGS project CAVP01000000 data, contig: Hcontortus_9374